rnacentral:rRNA from 1 species
UACGGAGGGGGCUAGCGUUGUUCGGAAUUACUGGGCGUAAAGCGCGUGUAGGCGGCUUUGCAAGUCGGGGGUGAAAUCCCUCAGCUCAACUGAGGAAGUGCGCCCGAAACUGCAGAGCUUGAGUACCGGAGAGGAUGGCGGAAUUCCCGAAGUAGAGGUGAAAUUCGUAGAUAUCGGGAGGAACACCGGUGGCGAAGGCGGCCAUCUGGACGGAUACUGACGCUGAGACGCGAAAGCGUGGGGAGCAAACAGG